rnacentral:rRNA from 1 species
AUUGAACGCUGGCGGCAUGCCUUACACAUGCAAGUCGAACGGCAGCACGGGAGCAAUCCUAGGUGGCGAGUGGCGAACGGGUGAGUAAUAUAUCGGAACGUGCCCAGUCGUGGGGAUAACGUAGCGAAAGCUACGCUAAUACCGCAUACGAUCUAUGGAUGAAAGCGGGGGAUCGCAAGACCUCGCGCGAUUGGAGCGGCCGAUAUCAGAUUAGGUAGUUGGUGAGGUAAAGGCUCACCAAGCCGACGAUCUGUAGCUGGUCUGAGAGGACGACCAGCCACACUGGGACUGAGACACGGCCCAGACUCCUACGGAGGCAGCAGUGGGGAAUUUUGGACAAUGGGCGCAAGCCUGAUCCAGCAAUGCCGCGUGCAGGAUGAAGGCCUCGGUUGUAAC